rnacentral:tRNA from 1 species
GCCCAGGUGUUGGAAUUGGCAGACAAGCAGGAUUUAGGUUCCUGUGCCCUCGUGGCGUGUGGGUUCGACCCCCACCCUGGGCACCA